rnacentral:lncRNA from 1 species
UAAUUAGCUUUUAUCUACCCCAGGAUUUAGUACAGUGCAUGGCACACAGAAAGCCCUGCUUCCUCCCGAGCCUCUUGGAAGAAAGAGGGCAGAAAGACACCGACAUCCCCCUUCUCAUUCCAUAGAAGGAGAAGCUUAGGCCUUGGAGUCAAGAAGUGAGAUACAAGUGGUAGGAAGAUUGCGGCAGUCAGUGGCUUUGGGUCCCCAUGAUCUCAUCCCCCACAGUACCUACCUCUCACCCUUUCAACUAUGUGAAAUCAAGUUUGGCCAGAGCCUCAGGAACAAAAGUCCCAAAGAAAACAUCUGCGCAGCUGCCACUCCUCCCCUUCGAGAUUAAUUCAACCAGAAAAGAGAUUGGGGGUUGGGGGGAGGGAGGGAGAAAAAGAGGGAGGGAGAAAAAAGGGAAAAAAGGGAGAUAGAGAGACAGGGAGGGAGAGAGGAAGAAAGAGAGAGAGGGAGGGAGAGAGGAAGAAAGAGAAAGUUAACAAGAAUAACAAGCUUGGAAAUAACCCGGCACAACUCCCUUCCUGUCUCAGGGGAUUAUCGGCAGGGCAGCUAAAAUGGGUUCUUUUGCAGGCCUGGCUCUUUCCCUUUUCUGGUUGUUUUGUGAAGAGGCAUUGAGCACCUCAAGCUUUCGGGGCACAUCUCUGGCAAGUCAGAGACCCUUCUCGACUCUCCUGCCAAAGAUCUCUAGCAGCCCCACAAGACAACAGACCCCAACUAAUGAGGCCACCUCAACGGCGGGUGCUAAACUGAACACCACCGGCACCAGGCCAGGAUCCCAGACCCCUGCCGAUCUCGACAGAUGCCUUCCAGGCGACGACAGCGGUUUUCUCCUCCUGAGGCUGCGGGUGAACUCCCUGCUGAACCUCACCGACCCCGUGGUUGGGAAGUGGCUUCUGCAGCAGAUUCAGUCGGAUCUACGGUCCCAGGCCCCCUGCAGCCAGCUCUCCCUGCUGCACAGCAGAGCUGAGAAGAAGCAGCCUCACCGGCGACUCUCUCGGCUCUCCCGAAGAAGAGCUGUGCUUCGGGCCCGGGAUAGCGGGCGGUGA